rnacentral:pre_miRNA from 1 species
AGCUCUCUGAUUUCGUACCAAGAUUUCGUCAGACACCGACCCAUCAGGGCUGAUAAGACUUCCAAGAAAAGUAAAGUA